CCUACGGGAGGCUGCAGUGAGGAAUAUUGGUCAAUGGGCGCUAGCCUGAACCAGCCAAGUAGCGUGAAGGAUGACUGCCCUAUGGGUUGUAAACCGCUUUUGCACGGGGAUAACACCCUCCACUUGUGGAGGUCUGCAGGUACCGUGCGAAUAAGGGCCGGCUAAUUCCGUGCCAGCAGCCGCGGUAAUACGGAAGGCCCGAGCGUUAUCCGGAUUCAUUGGGCUUAAAGGGAGCGUAGGCGGGCGUUCAAGUCAGCUGUAAAAUCGCGCGGCUCAACCGCGCCCCGCAGUUGAAACUGGACGCCUUGAGUUCACAACAGGCAGGCGGAAUUCGUGGUGUAGCGGUGAAAUGCAUAGAUAUCACGAGGAACCCCGAUUGCGAAGGCAGCCUGCCGGGGUGCGACUGACGCUGAGGCUCGAAGGUGCGGGUAUCAAACAGGAUUAGAUACCCCAGUAGUC
rnacentral:rRNA from 1 species